ensembl:snRNA U6 U6 spliceosomal RNA
GUGCUUGCUUUGGCAGCAUAUAUACUAAAAUUGGAAUGAUGCAGAGAAGAUUACUAUGGCCCCUACGCAAAGAUGGCACACAAAUUCACGAAGCAUUCCAAAAAAAA